CGCUGGCGGCGUGCCUAAUACAUGCAAGUCGAACGCACUCUCGUUUAGAUUGAAGGAGCUUGCUCCUGAUUGAUAAACAUUUGAGUGAGUGGCGGACGGGUGAGUAACACGUGGGUAACCUGCCCUAAAGUGGGGGAUAACAUUUGGAAACAGAUGCUAAUACCGCAUAAAACCUAACACCGCAUGGUGUAGGGUUGAAAGAUGGUUUCGGCUAUCACUUUAGGAUGGACCCGCGGUGCAUUAGUUAGUUGGUGAGGUAAAGGCUCACCAAGACCGUGAUGCAUAGCCGACCUGAGAGGUAAUCGGCCACACUGGGACUGAGACACGGCCCAGACUCCUACGGAGGCAGCAGUAGGGAAUCUUCCACAAUGGACGAAAGUCUGAUGGAGCAACGCCGCGUGAGUGAAGAAGGUUUUCGGAUCGUAAAACUCUGUUGUUGGAGAAGAAUGUAUCUGAUAGUAACUGAUCAGGUAGUGACGGUAUCCAACCAGAAAGCCACGGCUAACUACGUG
rnacentral:rRNA from 1 species